UACGUAGGUGGCGAGCGUUGUCCGGAUUUACUGGGCGUAAAGGGCGCGUAGGCGGCGUGUUAAGUCAGCUGUGAAAUCUCCGAGCUUAACUCGGAACGGUCAGCUGAUACUGAUGUGCUAGAGUGCAGAAGGGGCAAUCGGAAUUCUUGGUGUAGCGGUGAAAUGCGUAGAUAUCAAGAGGAACACCUGAGGUGAAGACGGGUUGCUGGGCUGACACUGACGCUGAGGCGCGAAAGCCAGGGGAGCAAACGGG
rnacentral:rRNA from 1 species